rnacentral:misc_RNA from 1 species
GAAAAACUCAAUGCUGCUUUCUCGCUUUCCAGUCCCCAUUCUCUACACGACGUUCAAUUACAGGUUAGAGAUAUAACUAGCAAUCCUGAUUGGGAGAAGGCUUAUCAAUAUGAAAUACCUGUGUUGGCUAGAGUGCGUCCUGAUGGCACUGAGGAGGUACUUCCUAGAUUAUCUCCUCGUCUAGGUGUUGAGGCCAUCCACAAGAAGAUUGCAGCUGCAUUGACUGAAUGAGCUUUCUCGCAAAAACAAUUUUGAAGCCAGUCUUUGCAUGUAAGACGGAUAGAUAAUAUGGAGAACUGUCUUCUUCUUCCUCUCCCUUUUACUGUGUAUCUUGCAACCGUACUAUGGUGGGACAUAUAAAGUUUAACUGUGUAAUACACCAUAGGAUACCGAGUAUCAACUAGAUAUUUUUUACAUUUUACCGCUAAUGAAGCUUGUCGUUUUAGCUCCAUUGGCACAAGGUGAUAGACAAAGACUCUUGUUCAAAUCCAAUUCGAAGCUUGUGGUUUU